rnacentral:rRNA from 1 species
AUUGAACGCUGGCGGCGCGCCUAAUACAUGCAAGUCGAGCGAGAAGACGUAGCAAUACGUUUGUAAAGCGGCGAACGGGUGAGGAAUACGUGGGUAACCUACCCUCGAGUGGGGAAUAACUAGCCGAAAGGUUAGCUAAUACCGCGUACGCUCCUUGGACUUCGGUUCAGGGAGGAAAGCGAUAUCGUGGGUAUCGCGCUCUUGGUUGGGCUCAUGUCCUAUCAGCUUGUUGGUGAGGAACGGCUCACCAAGGCUUCGACGGGUAGCUGGUCUGAGAGGACGAUCAGCCACACUGGCACUGCGACACGGGCCAGACUCCUACGGGAGCAGCAGUAAGGAAUAUUGCGCAAUGGGCGAAAGCCUGGCGCAGCGACGCCGCGUGGGGGAUGAAGGUCUUCGGAUUGUAAACCCCUUUCGGGAGGGAAGAU